UACAGAGGGUGCGAGCGUUAAUCGGAAUUACUGGGCGUAAAGCGUGCGUAGACGGCUAUCUAAGUCGGGUGUGAAAGCCCCGGGCUCAACCUGGGAAUUGCAUUCGAGACUGAAUAGCUAGGGUGCGGUAGAGGGAAGCGGAAUUUCCGGUGUAGCGGUGAAAUGCGUAGAUAUCGGAAGGAACAUCAGUGGCGAAAGCGGCUUCCUGGACCAGCACCGACGUUCAGGCACGAAAGCGUUGGGGAGCAAACAGG
rnacentral:rRNA from 1 species